GGGGCGUAGCUCAGAUGGUAGAACGCUCGCUGAGCAUGCGAGAGGUUCGGGGAUCGAUACCCCACGCCUCCA
rnacentral:tRNA from 1 species